GGGUGGGCAGCAUCGGCUUUCCAAACAAGCUGUAUGGAGCGUAUGAUUGUUACCUUGAUGACAAAGAUCUGGCAGGAGUCCUGUGGAUUAUAUAUUAAGGAUUGCCACAGCAGCUUUUAUUAAAAUGAAGGCUCUCAUCCCCUGAGUUGUUGGAGGGGUGUGCGAAUGAAGGAUUGUAGUCAUCAACUGUACAAAUAUGGACGUCAUCACAGCUUCCAGUGGUGGAAGCUCCACACCCCAGUCAC